AUCUUGCUGGGGCCUCCAGAAAAUGUGACUCACACAGCUGAGAAGGAGACACGGACCCCACUUGAAUGCAAUUAA
rnacentral:miRNA from 1 species